AGCGCGCUGUGGCGGGUAGGCUGGUUACGCCUGCUCAGAAUGACCAUUCGUGGCUUUUUUCCCAGUCACCUUUCCCCACGCCUCAGACCAUCCUGCUUCUUUAUUCUUUACCCUGUAAGCAUGCUCUGAGCCCCUUGCCUUCUGGGAGGUGGAUCUGAGACUUGUUCUCCCAGCCCCUCGCUUGGCUUCCCGGUGAAUAAACCCCCUCUUUGCUGCAAACCGCAGUGUCUCCGCGGUUUGGCUUGCUGCGCCUCAGGCAAAACGGACCUGGUUCGAGAUCUGUUAAGUUCAGUGCUGUAGACUGCCUGAUACUAACUGCCCACAAAUGUUUCUGCGUCUUCUGAAGACUGGUUGUUUCUACAGUCUCACGUGCUGUCUCCAGGGAGAAUAGAAAAGGAUAAAUGAGUGAGAGUCUGAGUCUCCGAAGUCCAGUUAUCAAGGAAGGCCAAGGGCCAUCACUCACCAUCAAGAAGGUUCCCUCUGGAUAUAUGCCCAGGAGUGGGAUUGCUGGAUCAUAUGGAACUUGGUUUUCCAUUGUAGGCUAAACUCCUUUGCUUGCAUUCCCAUUGACUAGGCAUGUGAUGGCAAUUCUGAGGUCGAGGGUUAUUCAUCCAUCAAAAAAUCCUCACUUUGGAAGAGAGCUGAAAAAGGUAUGAUGCCUGAGAACGGCUAAAAAGGUGGACAGUAAAGAAUAUGGGGUGCCCUGCCGGGGCAACUGUGCCCCUUUGCAUCAAAUGCCCCAUUUGGAGACAAAAAAAGGAAGUGUGUACUGAUUGCAGGGGGAAAUGCAAACACAACGUAGCUCCAACCUGCUCG